rnacentral:rRNA from 1 species
AAAGUGGAGCAAUCCAUGAGUAAAGUGGCGCACGGGUGAGUAACACGUGACUAACCUACCCAGGAGUGGGGGAUAACUGAGGGAAACCUUAGCUAAUACCGCAUAACACCUACGGGUCAAAGGAGCAAUUCGCUUCUGGAGGGGGUCGCGGCCGAUUAGUUAGUUGGCAGGGUAACGGCCUACCAAGACGAUGAUCGGUAUCCGGCCUGAGAGGGCGCACGGACACACUGGAACUGAAACACGGUCCAGACUCCUACGGGAGGCAGCAGUGGGGAAUUUUGCGCAAUGGGGGAAACCCUGACGCAGCAACGCCGCGUGGAGGAUGAAGUCCUUCGGGACGUAAACUCCUUUCGAUCGGGACGAUUAUGACGGUACCGGAAGAAGAAGCCCCGGCUAACUUCGUGCCAGCAGCCGCGGUAAUACGAGGGGGGCGAGCGUUGUUCGGAAUUAUUGGGCGUAAAGGGUGCGUAGGCGGUUUGGUAAGUCUGAUGUGAAAUCUAUGGGCUCAACUCAUAGUCUGCAUCGGAAACUGCCGGGCUUGAGUAUGGGAGAGGUGAGUGGAAUUCCUGGUGUAGCGGUGAAAUGCGUAGAUAUCAGGAGGAACACCUGUGGCGAAAGCGGCUCACUGGACCAUAACUGACGCUGAUGCACGAAAGCUAGGGGAGCAAACAGGAUUAGAUACCCUGGUAGUCCUAGCCCUAAACGAUGACUGCUUGGUGUGACGGGUACCCAAUCCCGCCGUGCCGUAGCUAACGCGUUAAGCAUU